UAGAUACCCUGGUAGUCCACACUGUAAACGAUGAGUGCUAGGUGUCGGGGGUCAAACCUCGGUGCCGCAGCUAACGCAUUAAGCACUCCGCCUGGGGAGUACGUUCGCAAGAAUGAAACUCAAAGGAAUUGACGGGGACCCGCACAAGCAGCGGAGCAUGUGGUUUAAUUCGAAGCAACGCGAAGAACCUUACCGGGGCUUGACAUCUAUCUGCAAUCCUCAGAGAUGGGGAAUUUCUUCGGAACGGAUA
rnacentral:rRNA from 1 species